rnacentral:lncRNA from 10 species
AACAUCUCUCAUUUGAAAAUCUGAAAUCCUAAUUGCUCCAGAAUCCAUAGUAUUUUGAGUGUGUACGUGAUACUCAAAGGAAAUGCUCACUGAAACAGGUCGGAUUUUGGAUUUUCAGAUUAAGGAUGUUUAACUGAGGAAAUGAUGCCACACCAGUUCAGGAUUUACCCUUUAAAAGGAUUGGCAGCUUUCAGCUCAGUCUCUUGGAGCCCUGAGCUGUCUUAGAAGAAGGCUGACUAUUCCUAUGGGAGAGACCACACAGAAACUAAAAAUACUUGGAAGAGGAGAGGGGCUCAGUUGAGCCCAACCUUCCAGCCAACUCCAGCAGGGUGGCAAGUAUGAGAGUGAGGAUAUCUUGGAGCCUCAGCAACCUGUGCUAUCCAAUAGCUAUCAGCCACAUGUGACUACUGAGCACUCAAAAUGUGGAGCAUCCUGCAUGAUUCUAUAGCACUCAACAGGUGUCUGCCAAGCGGACAGACUACAGACCCCUCUGGCCGCAUGAUGCUGAGCUUCCCCUUGGACACAUGAAGAUUAAGUUAGUCAAGCAUGGAGAUUCCUCCCUCUCCUUCACAAACUCCAGAUGUUUGGCAUCUCCCCAAUAUCCUAAGACCUCCUGGACUGGGAACAAAAUGAGCGUAGUGAAAGAGGAAGCAGCUUUAGAGAAAGCACCACAGGGAACAAACCAAUAAAAAAGCAGGAAACUCAGCACAAGCCUGAUUUAUGUCACUGCACUUCUCUACUCUCAGCCCCAUUCCCCCAAACUCCCAGCAAGCACACAAGCACACACAGGCACACACAUGCACAUGCGCACACACACAUGCACAUACACAACACACACACACACACAUGCCUUCUGCCAGCAGCUCUCUUUCUCACUCUCACUUUUCUUUUCAAAUGCUGGCAUUUGAAAAAAUCCCCUAUUUUGUUUCACCCUCCUUUUCUGCCUCCCUAAAGAGCUUCCGAAGAGGAGUUUUGAUGGUGCAUCUGAGUGUUAAUAGAUUCGGGAGUGUGAAGCUGUUGCCUGAAUCUCAUUCCCUGAGAGUGCCUUUCUCUUUUUAAUAGCUGAGAAAGAAUUGAUCAAGCCUCUGUUUUAGUCUCUGUUUCUAAACAGAAAGAAAGAAAGAAAAAGGAAGGAAGGAAACAAGGAAGGAAGGACAUACAACGUAAAAACAAAAACAUUUUUACGACGAUCCCUUUUUCAACAGCUAGGGGCAAUCCAGUGUGUUCAGUUGUGUUAGUUCUGUGUCUGUCAGGAGAAAAAGCCAUGUAGAAGUGAUGAUUUAGUUUUCUUGGUGGGAACACAAGGGAAGCUAGUUGAAAGCAAUGGUUGUGGGGUCUUGAAUGGACAGGCAAGUCCGGUAGUCAGAAGAAGAUUUUGAUUAGAAACAGAGGAAUUUCUUCCAGGAAAAUACAUUGUCUUCAUGACAAACCAAAAAUACACCAAAUGUUCUGAAAACUGCCCUUUAAAAAGAAAGAACAGAUUGUUCAAUUGAAACACUUUCCUGAAGCCAAUUGUUGCAGGCUGCCAGCCACCUUCAGUACCAGCCACCCCUCCGUCCUCCCCAGGGCCGGUAUAAGGGGUGCAUGAGAGACACGUGCAUGCAGAAGACUCCACCAUGAUGCCUGGCUCCCAUUGCACUGUCCCAGAGCGGCGUAGUGGCAGCUGGGGUUAGUGCUAUCUGUCAUGAAAGGGCAUUCUACUCCGGUUGGCAGAGAACACUCACACACGGGGAAGCUGAGCCAUCAGUGCAGGAGUUAAUUCCCGUUUGCAAUAAUACUAAGGAUGUCGCAUUCAUAUAUACUCAAUGAGCACUAAAGGAAUCAUAGGAAUAUGCUCUCACAGGAGAUAAUGUAGCCACAGUAGAUAAAGGAGGAUGUCCUGGAAGAAGGGGAACCUUUUUUAAGCCAAGGGAGAAAACCACUGAAAAGUAAAUCUUUGCAUGUAGCUGUGCAGCUCUGCAGAUCUAAAAUCUGUGCUUUUUAAAAGUAUACUCUGUGGAGUAGCAGUCCACAUCAAAAGGUCACAGUUUAAAAGUUUUGUAUUGUGCUUGGGUUAUCCCUUAAGAUGUUAGUUAUAUCAUCACAAAAGAACAAGAGUAAACUGUAAUUUACUAUUUUUGGAGUAUUUUUUUGUUGUUAGGCAUUUGAAGGAUGAGGUGCACAGUGCCCAAGAGUAUGUCACAGCGGCAAUUUCCACUUUAUGCAGAAUUAAUACUCAAUUACUUAUCUGCUUACCUGGACCUUGAGUGAAUAAUAGAUUCCUAAUAAAGGGUUUUUGAGCAAAUGGACAAAUUGGAUGCAUUUAUGUUAUAGCAGCCACAACAGCAAAAGAAAAUCAAACACUUACAAAACAGAAGUCAAUCAAGUUUUAACUAGAGGAGACACCAAAGUAUCAUACAGUGGAGGAAAAAUUCAAAUGUUCUGCGCCAAGCUCCUAUCAUGCCAAUUGUACAUGUUUGUGCGUAUGUAGGGUAGCUAGGGUUGGAUGUGUAAUCAUCCCUAAAAUUCAUUUGGUGAAGAAAAAUACAUUUUAUUUGAAAUCAUUGUCUAUUUUUAUUCCUGCCAAUAUUUUGUAUAACAUAGAAGUCUGCCCCAGAGUGUAAAUAAAUAAUGAGGAAGGUCACAGAUCUAAAUAUACUAUCUUGGUUCAAUAAUAAAAAGAGA